GCUAGCUACAGGCUUAACACAUGCAAGUCGAGGGGAAACGACAUCGAAAGCUUGCUUUUGAUGGGCGUCGACCGGCGCACGGGUGAGUAACGCGUAUCCAACCUGCCCACCACUUGGGGAUAACCUUGCGAAAGUAAGACUAAUACCCAAUGAUAUCUCUAGAAGACAUCUGAAAGAGAUUAAAGAUUUAUCGGUGAUGGAUGGGGAUGCGUCUGAUUAGCUUGUUGGCGGGGUAACGGCCCACCAAGGCAACGAUCAGUAGGGGUUCUGAGAGGAAGGUCCCCCACAUUGGAACUGAGACACGGUCCAAACUCCUACGGGAGGCAGCAGUGAGGAAUAUUGGUCAAUGGGCGAGAGCCUGAACCAGCCAAGUAGCGUGCAGGAUGACGGCCCUAUGGGUUGUAAACUGCUUUUAUAAGGGAAUAAAGUGAGCCUCGUGAGGCUUUUUGCAUGUACCUUAUGAAUAAGGACCGGCUAAUUCCGUGCCAGCAGCCGCGGUAAUACGGAAGGUCCAGGCGUUAUCCGGAUUUAUUGGGUUUAAAGGGAGCGUAGGCCGUCUGUUAAGCGUGUUGUGAAAUGUAGAUGCUCAACAUCUGAAUUGCAGCGCGAACUGGCAGACUUGAGUGUGCGCAACGUAGGCGGAAUUCGUGGUGUAGCGGUGAAAUGCUUAGAUAUCACGAAGAACUCCGAUUG
rnacentral:rRNA from 1 species